UACGUAGGGUGCGAGCGUUGUCCGGAAUUAUUGGGCGUAAAGAGCUUGUAGGCGGUCUGUCGCGUCUGCUGUGAAAAUCCGGGGCUCAACCCCGGACUUGCAGUGGGUACGGGCAGACUAGAGUGUGGUAGGGGAGACUGGAAUUCCUGGUGUAACGGUGAAAUGCGCAGAUAUCAGGAGGAACACCGGUGGCGAAGGCGCCACUCUGGGCCGAAACUGACGCUGAGGAGCGAAAGCGUGGGUAGCAAACAGG
rnacentral:rRNA from 1 species